UACGUAGGGGCCUAGCGUUGUCCGGAAUUAUUGGGCGUAAAGGGCGCGCAGGCGGUACGGCACGUCCGUUGUGAAAUCGCUCGGCUCAACUGGGCGGGGUCAGCGGAUACGGCCGCACUUGAGCAAGCUAGGGGGCAAUGGAAUUCCCGGUGUAGUGGUGGAAUGCGUAGAUAUCGGGAGGAACACCAGUGGCGAAGGCGGUUGCCUGGAGCUUUGCUGACGCUGAGGCGCGAAAGCGUGGGGAGCGAUCCGG
rnacentral:rRNA from 1 species